CGCACAUUGCGCCCCUUGGUAUUCCGGGGGGCAUGCCCGUUCGAGCGUCAUUUCACCAAUCCAGCCUGGCUGGGUGUUGGACCCCGGGGGCGACCCGGGUCCCAAAGUCGUCGGCCGUGACGGUCCGGAAACGCAGCGUCGUGAUUAACCAAUUCGCUGGCGGGGACGGGCGUCGCGCGCCGGAAAUUCUUUUCAAAGGUUGACCUCGGAUCGGGUAGGGAUACCCGCUGAACUUAA
rnacentral:misc_RNA from 1 species